rnacentral:tRNA from 1 species
UAGCUCAGUUGGUAGAGUGUCGGCCUUGCAUGCAGAAGGCCCUGGGUUCGAUCCCCAG